rnacentral:rRNA from 1 species
CACACGACUCUCGGCAACGGAUAUCUCGGCUCUCGCAUCGAUGAAGAACGUAGCGAAAUGCGAUACCUGGUGUGAAUUGCAGAAUCCCGCGAACCAAAGAGUCUUUGAACGCAAGUUGCGCCCGAGGCCACUCGCCCGAGCGCCUGCCUGGGCGUCACG